UCCGUAGGUGAACCUGCGGAGGGAUCAUUGCUGGAACGCGCCCCAGGCGCACCCAGAAACCCUUUGUGAACUUAUACCUUACUGUUGCCUCGGCGCUAGCUGGUCCUUCGGGGCCCCUCACCCUCGGGUGUUGAGACAGCCCGCCGGCGGCCAACCCAACUCUUGUUUUUACACUGAAACUCUGAGAAUAAAACAUAAAUGAAUCAAAACUUUCAACAACGGAUCUCUUGGUUCUGGCAUCGAUGAAGAACGCAGCGAAAUGCGAUAAGUAAUGUGAAUUGCAGAAUUCAGUGAAUCAUCGAAUCUUUGAACGCACAUUGCGCCCUCUGGUAUUCCGGAGGGCAUGCCUGUUCGAGCGUCAUUUCAACCCUCAAGCCUGGCUUGGUGAUGGGGCACUGCCUGUAAAAGGGCAGGCCCUGAAAUUCAGUGGCGAGCUCGCCAGGACCCCGAGCGCAGUAGUUAAACCCUCGCUUUGGAAGGCCCUGGCGGUGCCCUGCCGUUAAACCCCCAACUUCUGAAAAUUUGACCUCGGAUCAGGUAGGAAUACCCGCUGAACUUAAGCAUAUCAAUAAGCGGAGGA
rnacentral:rRNA from 1 species